rnacentral:lncRNA from 1 species
AUGCAAAGCUUUUUAAAAACAGGACAUCAUGUUUUAAUAGAGCUUGAUUUACAUUCUCGUCAAUAUACACACACAUACUCUCAUCUAUCAAUACAAUCUAACCAUUCUACAUUUAAAAAUGUUUCAUCUUAUCCCCUUUGCACCAUCUGUUACUAUCUUGUAUUUCCCUGGAAUAUUCCAAUAGUCUACGUAUUUGUCUUGCUCCUCCAAAACAUCCUCCAAACCGACUGUGAUCUUUCUAAAGCACAGGUCUUGCUCAAGCUUUCAGUCACCUCUCCUCUCAAAUCACAUCCACCACCCUCACACCCCUCCUCCAAUCCUGCAGGAUCACAAGAUCAGAAGUUUGUAAGGGCCAAAUAGAUGAAGACAAACUUACAGGGGACACAGGAACCAGGAAAGCACAAGCCCUGACUCUAAAAAGCAGCCACUCCCCAGCUCGAAUUUUCAGACAAAACCAGAAAUCAGUGUUGACAAGGAAUGUCUCAAUUUUUUAAAUUUAUGCAGACCAAGUAAAUCUGUGGAGCUCAAUCCACAGGCUACUAGUUUGUAAUGUAUAGCCUAAAGGAUAAAGUCCAAGAUUUGGUUACAAUCUAUCUUUACAAAUUUAUCUGCCCUCAAUCCUACCACCCAAGUUAUACUCCAACAUUCACAGAACUACUUACUUGUCCCGCCCUACAGGCAAUACACACCACUGCCUGCCAGCCAUCGUUCAUUUGUUUAUCUUUGCUAUGAAAGCCAUCCCCUGCCCCAAUACACCCACAAUCACAUCUAAUUUCCACUCAGGCCUCAAAGAGUAACUGUAAAACACUGUGUGUCUACCUCUCACAAUCCCUACCAGUCUUCACCCUAUACUAUACUUUUUUAUGCUAAAGACUGCAAGCUUCUGGAAGCAAGGUACAUAUCUGAUUCUGUUCUGUAUUCCCCAAAUAAUCAAACAGUACCUGUUUGAGUACAUGCGGAAUAAUGAAUGAAGUUAUUUAUCUGCCUAUUUCCAUAACAAUCUGUAUUUCAACUUGAUGGCCAUUACACAUCAAUAUGGUCCCUUACAAUGCUGAAAAAUCAAAAGGCUAACGGGUUUAGAAAAACAUCCCUGUUAAUAUUAAAUCUGAAUCAGAACAUGAUCUCCUGGUUCUUUUUAAAUAUACUCUUUAGCUCUGUUGAAAAGGUCUAGAAGCAAUGACACGACCCAACAACAAUGGUUUGGGCUUCUAAAUACCAUUCCCCACUAAAAGGAAUCAGAGCUUCUUGGAGAAAUGGCUGGUGUCUGAAAUGCAGGGAAAAUAAAAAGUCAAGAAACAAAGACUGAUAGGAUCAUAUUAAAAAGAAGCAGAAACUACCUUGAAGGGGCUCUCAUUAGCCAAUCUGGGACAAUUUGAGCACCAAUAAAGACUCUGAUUGUUAACACACUAAAUAAAAAGUCCAUGAGAGUACGAUGCUACACAAAAGAAAGGAGAAGAAACAGGGAUGGCCUCUGUGAAUGAUAGCUAAUUAAUGUAGACAGAAUGAUAGAAAACCACAAUUUUGUAACUCUCAUUAUAACAACUGAUUCUAGGAUCAGGCUGCUGAAACCACUGGGUGAAAUGUUGUAACAGAACAGGGUAUUUACAAGGUGCCAAAAUACUGUCCCAUAAAUUCCUUUCUAAUAGCAGAGGAUAAAAUUGUACCUUUAAAAAGGAGAGAUCUGGCUAUUGCCACCUCAGCCAAGGGAUCAAAUUUAGCAUAGCUCAUAAUGGGAUAACCUGUCAUCAAGUGCCUCCCAACAUGACUCAAUGCAAAGUACACUUCACCUAUGAUGAAACAUUCCUGUCAAAAUGUUUAACCUGGUUGCAAUCAAGCCUCUCACCUAACUUCCAGUUUACAGGAAACAUAGUACCUACAGAAACCAGUUAAAUGAUACCGUAAGGAAAUAAACAAAUGAAGAAUGUUGCACAUCCUACAAGACAACUGAGCUGAACUCUUCAAAAACAAUGCCGGGAGAGGAGGGGAAAAGGUAGAGGGAAUGUUCUAAAUGAAAAGAAAUUAAAGAGAUAGAACAAUCAAAUACAAAGGGUGUCUUGGCAUUAAAACAAAAAGGGGGGGGGGGGGACAUGCCAGAAAAGACAUUCUUGGGACAAUUAGGAAAACCUAACUGAAUAUUUGAUAUUACAUUAUGGAGUUAUUU